AGACAGUCUUAAGCCCCUGACACACUAACCCGAUGGCUGACCAUUGGCAGAAAAGGCAGUCGGAUUGACGGCCUCCCUGAGUUGGCCAAAAAAAGUGC